AUGAUACUCAUCGGUUUGGCAGGAAGAAACACUCCAGUGCCACGUGGCUUAACUCGUCCUUUGCUGGCAUCAUCACUACUUGGCUUCUUUAUGGAACCAUAGUGGUUCAAGGCGUGCCACAUCCUUGGCUUCCUAUCAUGAAUAAAAACCUGUGGAAAUGGACCGGUGUAAUCAAGAAAGAUCUCAUUGAAAAGGGUUGAAGGUAGGAGAAACAAUACUUCCUCCGCACGCAACACAACCUCUCCUUUGCAAGACAUGUUGCUUUUUAUUGGGAUACAAUUUCAGAGACUACUACAGAACUUCAUCCAAUCUCUUCCUAUAUAUAUGUUACUUAGCUCAAGGGUCGGGUCGAGUUAGGUGAACCCUCUCAUUGUAGAGUGGUGGUGGUUGUUGCAGAAGUAUGUAUGUGGCUUCUCUAUGGUAUAGUUAGGCUUAAACCAUAAACACUAGAUUUGGUUGGUUAUGCAACAUUCGUCUAACCCACCACACCAACCCUUGUCCAUUGUUCCUUCUAUUUGAGUUUGACCACCAAACACCAUAUAUUAUAUAUUUUAUUAGUGGUUGACCUAAAAUAGGAGAUUAUUAAACAGUGACACAAAUCAUAUUGUCACUUGGUAAUGUUAAUUUUUGUCUGUCAUCUUGAACUUGACAAUCAUAUUGUAGCUUUUACUUGGACAAUCAUGAGCACAUAUAACCUUGAAAAACUGGUUAUGCCGCGUAGGAGUUUCCAAUUCGGUUAAUUCGGCUUAUGAAAUGUAGAAACCGAAUGUUAUUGGUUUAGUUCUGGUUUGAUUUAGAUCGGUGAAACCGGAUUUAGCAAUUCUAGUUGUGCGUGCAUAAACCGGAUCUUGUGAAACCCCUAAACAAGUUUAUUAUCUUUUUGUGUUUCCUCACGCUCGUCAUCGUUAAUUUCGCUGAUGGGGACAAAAGAUUCACACUCGUCUCGUCGAACAUUCGAAAAAAAGUGAACGUUUUUGUCGGAUCCGUCCUUGCUUUGGGGGGGAUGAUACGCUACGCCGUGAGAUAUGCCCACCACCUGUUCGACGAAUUUCCACCUGAAAUGUUGGAUGAUUACGUGGAGUCUGGAGAAACUUACAUGAAAAAGCGAGAUCCCUGCUCAAGCUUGAUGAAUCUGGCAGCUCAGAAAUUGUGAUGGCCUUCACCGUAUGAAGUGUUCUGGUUAAAAGACGUAUUGAAAUUGGACGUGAUGCAGCGGUAUGCUAUUCCUUUUCUUUGUAUUAUGUGCUCAAUGAUGAAACUUAACUUGUUUAAGUUUUCUUUCUCUCUUGCUGAAAUGAAAGAGGAACAUAUUCUCUGCAGUUGUAGGACAAUAACUAUAAAAACAUCUAGGAUUAAAUCGAGAUUAUAUUCUAAACAAUUUUAUGCAGGCCUUUAGAACAUUUGUGUUACAAAAAGUCAAUGGGGCAUUCCGAGAAUCGAACUCGGGACCUCUCGCACCCAAAGCGAGAAUCAUACCACUAGACCAAAUGCCCGGUGUUGAUUUAGUUC